UUAUUCCUACGGGAGGCAGCAGUAGGUUCUAUUGUUUUUUGGGGGACCCCCUGAAGCAGCAACGCCGCGUGGAGGAUGAAGGUUUUCGGAUUGUAAACUCCUUUUGUUAGAGAAGAUAAUGACGGUAUCUAACGAAUAAGCACCGGCUAACUCCGUGCCAGCAGCCGCGGUAAUACGGAGGGUGCAAGCGUUACUCGGAAUCACUGGGCGUAAAGAGCGCGUAGGCGGGAUAGCAAGUCAGAUGUGAAAUCCUAUGGCUUAACCAUAGAACUGCAUUUGAAACUGUUAUUCUAGAGUAUGGGAGA
rnacentral:rRNA from 1 species